rnacentral:tRNA from 1 species
UUAAAAUAGUUUAAAAAAAAUAUUGAUUUGUGGAAUCGAAGAUUAUUUAUUAUUUUAAU